UUGACGUCACUAGGUUAUGUUUGCAUGCGGGGGUGCGCAUGCGCCUGGCGUCGUCUCGCGGGUGCUAGGCAACGCGCUGGAGUCGACUCUCCGUUAGUGCGGCGCUGAGCCGUCGGAUUGGUCGCAGCACCAGCUCCCGAAGGGGAAGCUGAGGCGGCGGGUUACUGAAGGGCGUCCGGAGAACUCCAGAGAGAGCCAGGAUGUCGGACUCCGAGGCUGCAUGAAGCAGUCUCGAGACUGGAUGUGCUCAAAAUCCAUAAACGGGCUUAAACGGCUUCCGUAGGUCCCCAAGGCUGCUUGCUUGCCUCGCGUCAGUUCACUGUUGGGUUUGUUGCUCUUCAGGUACUCCAGGGUGUGGUCUACAACACCUUACAGGUCUGAGUGACCGAAUUCCAUUCUUUCUACCUGAUCCUUCACCUGAUAUUUAUUUCAACCUUUAAGUCAUCGGUUGCUAAACCCAAAGAGUUCACAAGGCAAAGGCACUUCAAGAACGAUCCAGAUAUACAAAUCCAGCAUCGAUAUCUCAUGAGUGAUUAGUCUGCUGUGAACAUUUGGAUGCAUUCAAGAAAGGACGUAGGAGAAGUGGGCUCGUGUUCAGUUUUCAGGAUUUUAAUUCAUUUCAGUCCUCAUCAAUCCUUUAUACUUCAGAGAGUGCAAGGACAUCAGGUGGGAUCAGAAGGCUUUGCCAUAUCUACAGCAAAGCAAUCAAUUUGAAUUUUGGAAGGACUUAAUGGUUCAGUCAUAGAUUUCAGUGACAGUUUGCUGCAAUGCCAGCAUAAAGUUUCCACCUUCCACACAAAACUGUGUAUUCCCAACUCAUUGUGCACUUACUUUUUUGAGACUAUCCAGACUUUCCUGACAAAGGGGAAAAUGCUUGCUUUUACCCUGCCCCAUUUUUAUGUUCUCCUCUACAGUGCAGCCCAUGGAAAACUGUGUCAGCACUGCUGGAUACGGAGAAGAUGAAAAGGGAGGAAGAAGUGCCUGGGAGAGGUCUCUAGUAUAGCCAGGGAAUUCUGUAGGCAUAUACCAGGGUGAUGAACCGUGUUGUGCCCUCCCUCAGUAGAAAAGGGGAUGUCAAGGCAGUUUGAUCUAAGCACUACUGCUGUGAUGCAGUGAGGCAAGAGUUCAGAUUUGUGGACAAACUAAUUAUCAGAGCUGGUGGCUGCAGAAAGCCCCAGAAUAUGUUUACAUUCCCAGUGAGCACUCUUGGGCAGGAUUUGGCUUUAUGUUCAUAACCAUAUAGAAGACUGCAGGGGCAGGCACUGCUCUCAGCAGCCAUGUACAAGUAUCUUCCCUGAUUCCUUAAGCCUUGUCUCAGUAAGCUUACUGUAAGUUGACUGAGCUCAGUAAGUUUACUAAGCUCAGUAAGCUUAUAUUCAAGUUAUGAUUAAGAUAAUCUAAUAUUAAGAUAUGUUUCAGGUGCAAGUGGCAGCAGGUCCUCGAAGUUGUUUUACUCAGGGGGGUGUCUAAAGGAAACAGAAAAGCUGGCUCAUCUCCACUACUAAGUGCUUCUUGCUAACAGCUGGUGCAGGAAGAUGGUGUGUUGGUCAGAAAAAGGAUUAAAAUUGCUUGUUUACCAUCAGCGCCAACAUUUCCUGUUCCAAGGGUAUGGUUGAUAUGUGUACUGUUCCAUGUCCACUCCAGAAUUAUUACAAUAGUGAUUUCUGGUGCUUGAUCAGUGACUGAGUGGUUUGCAAAUGGGGCUUUUAACCACAAUAGUGCUAAUAGUAAAAUCUAUAUGGAGAUGUUUUAAUGCAGACCUGAACUGCAGCAGCCUUUUAACUUCUCCUCAGACAAAAAUAAUACAGUAAGUUAGCACUGAAAUGUCAUGCACAGUCAAUUUGAAAGUGAAAUAUCUUACGUUGAAAAAAUUGAGAGUUAAUUGAACAACAAAUAUCUUGCAGCCUUUUGAAAUAACAGUUCAAAUACAGUCAAUACCAGCCCUCUUUCUUCUCUCAAACACAAAAAGUGUUUGUUUCUUUUAAAGUUCAAAAUGUCACAAAUGUGCCUUUCAACCACAUUUAUUAAGAAAUUCACUGAAGGAUGGUUAGAAAGAAACAGAAGCUUUAAAUGUUCUUCAGCGUUUAUACUGCUGAUUGUGUGGACUUGGAUCUCAUUCACCCCAAUUCUGUACAACAAACAAAAACUAUUUCCAUGACUCACAAGCAAAUAAAUAUGCAGUGUUUGGGUAAAA